UGGAGGAAAGUAGGGGAUCGAAAGACCUUGCGCUUAAGGAGCGGCCGAUGUCUGAUUAGCUAGUUGGUGGGGUAAAGGCCUACCAAGGCGACGAUCAGUAGUUGGUCUGAGAGGACGACCAACCACACUGGGACUGAGACACGGCCCAGACUCCUACGGGAGGCAGCAGUGGGGAAUUUUGGACAAUGGGCGCAAGCCUGAUCCAGCCAUGCCGCGUGAGUGAAGAAGGCCUUCGGGUUGUAAAGCUCUUUCAGUUGGGAAGAAACGAUUGCAACUAAUAAUUGUAAUUAAUGACGGUACCGACAGAAGAAGCACCGGCUAACUACGUGCCAGCAGCCGCGGUAAUACGUAGGGUGCGAGCGUUAAUCGGAAUUACUGGGCGUAAAGGGUGCGCAGGCGGUUUUGUAAGUCAGAUGUGAAAUCCCCGGGCUUAACCUGGGAAUGGCGUUUGAA
rnacentral:rRNA from 1 species